GUGAGGAAUAUUGGUCAAUGGACGAGAGUCUGAACCAGCCAAGUCGCGUGAAGGAAGACGGUUCUAUGAAUUGUAAACUUCUUUUGUGCAGGAAUAAAGUGGGUUACGUGUAACCUUUUGUAUGUACUGUACGAAUAAGGAUCGGCUAACUCCGUGCCAGCAGCCGCGGUAAUACGGAGGAUCCGAGCGUUAUCCGGAUUUAUUGGGUUUAAAGGGUGCGUAGGUGGAUUGAUAAGUCAGCGGUGAAAGUUUGCAGCUUAACUGUAAAAUUGCCGUUGAAACUGUCGGUCUUGAGUGCAAAUGAGGUAGGCGGAAUGUGUUGUGUAGCGGUGAAAUGCUUAGAUAUAACACAGAACUCCGAUUGCGAAGGCAGCUUACUGGGAUGUAACUGACACUGAUGCACGAAAGCGUGGGUAUCAAACAGGAUUAGAAACCCUUGUAGUCC
rnacentral:rRNA from 1 species